CUCCAAACCCCUGUGAACUUACCUAUGUUGCCUUGGCAGGUCGUGGUGUGUAGCGUGAUCGCUAUAAGGGAUCACCGCCUCGCACCACGCUGAAAGACCUGUCAAAGGACCCCUAAACUCUGUCUUACAACUGUAUCUCUGAGUCUAUUAUAUAAACAAGUUAAAACUUUCAACAACGGAUCUCUUGGCUCUGGCAUCGAUGAAGAACGCAGCGAAAUGCGAUAAGUAAUGUGAAUUGCAGAAUUCAGUGAAUCAUCGAAUCUUUGAACGCACAUUGCGCCUGAUAGUAUUCUGUCAGGCAUGCCUGUUCGAGCGUCAUUUCAACCCCCAAGCCCUAAUCUGCUUGACGUUGGGAGUUUACGGAGACGUAAUUCCUCAAAUAUAGUGGCGGAGCUAGGUCGUGCUCUAAGCGUAGUAACCACACUCUCGCUUCUGCAGCCGGCCUAGGUCUUGCCGUAAAACCCCUAUAUUUAUUUUUUACUGGUUGACCUCGGAUCAGGUAGGAAUACCCGCUGAACUUAAGCAUAUCAUAG
rnacentral:rRNA from 1 species